UCUUGACUGUUUACUCUGGAAGGAGCAGUUCGUGGAGUGGGUCUGAAGCAACUGGGUAGCAGUCAUAAUAUUAGGCUGCUACAGAGGGGGUGGACUUUGAUGUCAGUAUGCUACAAAGGAUGUUGAAGAAAUUGGUUAUGAGAAGCGAUUAUCUUUGUGCCUCCAUGGCGAGCAGCACCGGCUGCAUCUGGC